rnacentral:rRNA from 1 species
CAUGCAAGUCGAACGUUAGGGCUUAGCAAUAGACCCGAAAGUGGCGUACGGGUGAGUAACACGUGGGUAAUCUACCUUUUGGUGGGGAAUAACCCUGGGAAACCGGGGCUAAUACCGCAUAAGCUCGUCAUUAUCAAGAUGACGCGGAAAGGAGCAAUUCGCCGAAAGAGGAGCCCGCGGCUGAUUAGCUAGUUGGUGAGGUAAAGGCUCACCAAGGCUAUGAUCGGUAGCCGGCCUGAGAGGGCACACGGCCACACUGGCACUGAAACACGGGCCAGACUCCUACGGGAGGCAGCAGUGGGGAAUCUUGCACAAUGGGGGAAACCCUGAUGCAGCGACGCCGCGUGAGCGAUGAAGCCCUUCGGGGUGUAAAGCUCUUUCGGCAGGGACGAUAAUGACGGUACCUGAAGAAGAAGCUGCGGCUAACUACGUGCCAGCAGCCGCGGUAAUACGUAGGCAGCGAGCGUUGUUCGGAGUUACUGGGCGUAAAGAGUGCGUAGGCGGUUUUCUAAGUUUGGUGUGAAAUCUCCCGGCUUAACUGGGAGGGUGCGCCGAAGACUGGAAGGCUAGAGUAUGGGAGAGGUAAGCGGAAUUCCUGGUGUAGCGGUGAAAUGCGUAGAUAUCANGAGGAACACCUGCGGUGUAGACGGCUUACUGGACCAUAACUGACGCUGA